AAGCGGUGGAGCAUGUGGUUUAAUUCGAUGGUACGCGAGGAACCUUACCAGGGCUUGACAUACGUUGGAAGCGCAUCGAAAGGUGCGUGCCGCUUGCGGCCGGCGUACAGGUGCUGCAUGGCUGUCGUCAGCUCGUGCUGUGAAGUGUUGGGUUAAGUCCCGCAACGAGCGCAACCCCUGCUGCCUGUUGCCACCACGAGAGGUGGGGACUCAGGCGGGACCGCCGGUGACAAACCGGAGGAAGUGGGGACGACGUCAAGUCAUCAUGGCCCUUAUGUCCUGGGCUACACACGUGCUACAAUGGCCGGUACAGAGCGCAGCGAGGCCGCGAGGCGGAGCGAAUCGCUUAAAGCCGGUCCCAGUACGGAUUGGAGUCUGCAACCCGACUCCAUGAAGUUGGAAUCGCUAGUAAUCGCGCAUCAGCAUGGCGCGGUGAAUACGUUCCCGGGCCUU
rnacentral:rRNA from 1 species